GGUUAGAUGGCCGAGCGGUCUAAGGCGCCACGUUAAGGUGUUACAAACUCUUAAUCCUUGUUUCCACAACAAAUGUUGUGGAUCAAAAAUCCGUGGUCCGAAAGGGCGUGGGUUCGAAUCCCACUCUAAUCA